rnacentral:rRNA from 1 species
GACGAACGCUGGCGGCGUGCUUAACACAUGCAAGUCGAACGGCAAGGCCCUGCUUUUUUGGUGUUCUCGAGUGGCGAUCGGGGGAGUAACACGUGUGUAACCUGCCCUUGACUUUGGGGUAACUUCAGGAAACUGGGGCUAAUACCGUAUAGGAGCUCCUGUUGCGGGGUGGGGGUUGGAAAUUUUAGGCUGGUGGGGAUGGACUCGCGGCUUAUCAGCUUGUUGGUGGGGGAGUGGCUUACCAAGGCUUGGACCGGUAGCCGGCCUGAGAGGGUGACCGGCCACAUUACGACUGCGAUAGGGAGCAGACUCGUAUGGGAGGCAGCAGUCGCGAAUCUUGUCCAAUGGGACGGAGUGUGUGGAAGCAGCGCCGCGUGCGGGAUGACGGUCUUUGGGGUGAAAAAAGCUUUCGCCUGUGACGAAGCGGGAGUGACGGUAAUGGAUAAAGAAGCACCGGCUAACUACGUG